rnacentral:rRNA from 1 species
UACGAAGGGGGCUAGCGUUGUUCGGAAUUACUGGGCGUAAAGGCGCGUAGGCGGCACGACAAGUCAGGAGUGAAAGCCCGGGGCUCAACCCCGGAAUGUCUUUUGAAACUGCCGAGCUAGAGUGCGGAAGAGGCAACUGGAAUUCCCAGUGUAGCGGUGAAAUGCGUAGAUAUUGGGAAGAACACCUGAGGCGAAGGCGGGUUGGCUGGGCC